UCCGUAGGGCGCAAGCGUUAUCCGGAAUUAUUGGGCGUCAAGAGCUCGUAGGCGGUUUGUCGCGUCUGCCGUGAAAGUCCGGGGCUCAACUCCGGAUCUGCGGUGGGUACGGGCAGACUAGAGUGAUGUAGGGGAGACUGGAAUUCCUGGUGUAGCGGUGAAAUGCGCAGAUAUCAGGAGGAACACCGAUGGCGAAGGCAGGUCUCUGGGCAUUAACUGACGCUGAGGAGCGAAAGCAUGGGGAGCGAACAGG
rnacentral:rRNA from 1 species